rnacentral:rRNA from 1 species
CACGUAGGGGGCGAGCGUUGUCCGGAUUCAUUGGGCGUAAAGAGCUCGUAGGCGGCUCAGUAAGUCGGGUGUGAAACCCUCAGGCUCAACCUGGGGACGCCACUCGAUACUGCUGUAGCUAGAGUCCAGUAGAGGAGUGUGGAAUUCCCGGUGUAGCGGUGAAAUGCGCAGAUAUCGGGAGGAACACCAACGGCGAAGGCAGCACUCUGGGCUGGUACUGACGCUGAGGAGCGAAAGCGUGGGUAGCAAACAGG